GCCUGGUAGCCACAGUUGCAGGUUGGGCUGGAAUAAUUGUUCCUUCUCUUGAUGUGUCCUUGUUCUCAGGUCAGGUUGAUAUGGCUAGGCGGCCUGCUGGCGAGAUAGUGGGAGUGGGCGGCCCGCCCCUCAGGACCUCUGACCUGGACAGAUGACUGGAUGACUCUCUGGGGCAGCAUUCACCGGAACUCAUAUGGAGAGGACUGCCUGAGAAACCAACCUGUGUGCCUGGGUCAGGUUGAUAUGGCUAGGCGGCCUGCUGGCGAGAUAGUGGGAGUGGGCGGUCCGCCCCUCAGGACCUCUGAUUUGGACAGAUGACUGGAUGACUCUCUGGGGCAGCAUUCACCGGAACUCAUAUGGAGGGGACUGCCUGAGAAACCAACCUGUGUGCCUGGGUCAGGUUGAUAUGGCUAGGCGGCCUGCUGGCGAGAUAGUGGGAGUGGGCGGUCCGCCCCUCAGGACCUCUGACUUGGACAGAUGACUGGAUGACUCUCUGGGGCAGCAUUCACCGGAACUCAUAUGGAGGGGGCUGCCUGAGAAACCAACCUGUGUGCCUGGGUAUCAGUGAAGACAGGAGACCAAAAGGCGUUUAGCUGUGCAAGCAAGCCAAGCCCUUCUCCCAGUCCCUCCAAACAUCACUAGUCCUCCACAGGACUUGUCUCACCAUGUGUUGCCUCAGCAAAACUCACCUUUACAAACACAGCUUUGAAGGCCAGUUUUUUGAGUUAAUAAUGUAAACAAAUGUUAUUCUACGACAAACGUAGAAUUCAAGAGAAAAAUGGAGUAAUGAGUAAACCAGACAUUAAAAAAGAUUCUAUAAAUGAUCGAAUUACCUUUAGGCUACUGCAGCUUAGGUAUAAUGUAAGGGGAGUAAUAAUCUACAAAUAAGCAAAUGAGCCAAGAUGACCAAGAUGGAAAUGGUUUGAUUAGGAAUUUGAUUAGGGAAGUUCUGCCAAGGCAGGGAUAGUUGGGGUGGACACCUUUAGUCCCAGCACUGGGGCUUUAUGCAUGCUAAGGACGAGCUCUAUUGCUGGGCCCCACGCUCUAGAGUCAAUGCUCUAAAAUACUGCACAAACUAAUUCUCAGACAUUAACUGCAGGAAGAAUGCUCUAAUCCUAGAUGAGUGUUUUCAAAACAAAACUUAGCAGCGAAGACCAAAAAAUACAGAAAAAGCACCCAAAACAGACGAAAUGCCAGUUCAUCAGGAAGCCAAAACUUGACAGAAAUAUCUCUCAAAUAACAUUUAAUCUCUCUCCCUUUGUUCUAAUCCUGUCCCCACCCAGCAACCACCUGAUGUGUAAUUUGGUUUUCUAAGUGACCAUAGCCAUCGGUCAGAGACACUAAGCUGGGCCCAAAUAAAAGAAGAAAAUAAAUAAGAAGUUAAAUUAAGUU
rnacentral:lncRNA from 1 species